AACUCUUAAGAGAAGAAGACAAAGGAGAGGCUGGCGAGUGACAGGCUGGAAAGGAGAGUCUCUUGCUGUAAAGUAAAAGCAAAAGGAGACCAUGUAUCUAGCAAAAGAAGUGGGCAGAUUCAUGGGAGCCUUUAGCUAGCCAAUAAGGAGCCAGCCUUCCCUUGACCAGAUUCAAAUGGACCAAUUAUCCAUCAGGAACAGCACAGCCACGACCAAGACCAUCUGUCCAUCUCAUCCAUUCAUUUAAAUUCAAGUUAUAACAGCCCUUAGAUUUAGGUUUAUGAUUGCAAGUUGUAAAGAGCAUAUAUAAGCUCAUAAGUGAUGUUUUGUAACUCUUAAGUGAGUAAGGGGGUUUCCCUUCUCCUUCUCUAAUCUGAAACACUUUCUCUUAGUCUCUCUAGUCUCUCAUCCUGAAUCUCUAUACACGUUCUCAGUCUUGUUACUAAUCUCUUAAACACUUAGACACACAAACACUCAUUAAACUUCCUUUCUCUCAAAUCGCUUCCAAGCUCUCUCUCUUUACCCAUUUGGGUUUCAUACACACAUACAACCUGAGUACUCUUAAAUCUCAUAUGGUAUCAGAGCCAGGUUCAUUAGAACUUGGUUCCAGCUUCCGCUAAGCUCAAAGCUCACUCCCAUGCCAUUUCCAAGCCAAGAAGAAGCUUCAUGUUCAUUUGGCUGUUCAACCUCUUCAAGAAGAAGGUGUGCUCAUCAAUGGCGUCCAGAAGCUGUUCUUGGUCGUUCUCCACUCUCUCAUGGCCGUCCUGAAGAAAGAAGGCCAUUGGAAGCAUGACCAAGCCAUUCCCAUUCACUGUCCAAGAAGAAAGGUGAAAGCUUUCAACUUGUACCUGGUAUGGCGACUCAAAAAUGAAGAGAGGAGGUGUCUUAGGCAUGGUGGGUUCAAGAGAAAGGUCCAUGAAAGAAGGAGAUGUAGGAGUUGACACCAACAGCUCGGAUCUUCCCAUGUACUAAGGAGUUUCAAGGAACUAACACUAGUUCCUUGGCUGUAAGGAAAUCUCUUUAUCUUGUAUAAAGCUUGAGUGUAUGAACAGGUUGUGAUGUUGUGAUGUGAUUGGAAACCUGAGGAUUGUUUAAAAGAUUGCUAAAAUGAAGUUGCUUUAGAAUCUGUCCCAGGAUACUUUAAGAGUCUUGUUUGGGUAUUGAAAUUGGUUAUUAUGCUUAGCUCCGGUUCAUAGUGAUGCUUGUUGUGAUUAAUUAAAUCUGCUUGCAUACAUGGAGUGAAACCGAAUUUAAAGCUGUUGCAUAUAGUCUUGUGGCUGUCUUACAUUGAAGUAUUAGAUUCAUGUCUAAGUACUGAGUAAAGAAGCUCUUAAGAGUGCCUAAGUAACUUGUCUUGAAUCUGUUAGGAUCUUACUUGUACUUAGAGAUUUAGCUUGCAAAGAAUAGAACUUGAUAAUGCCUUGUGUCUAUCUGUUGCAUUGCUUGUGAUAUUGGGAAUCAAACUUGAUAAUUUAUUAAUCAAGAUUUGACAUCAAUACUAUCGAAAAUGGUUAAAAUGCUUAAUGUCAGUUCUAAAUUAACUUGUCUUGUUAAGAUGAUAGAUUAUAUUAUCUAAUCAUGCUUGCUUUCAUGAGUUAGAAACUGAUUAAGAUUAAUGCAUACUGCCUUGUAUUGUUGCAUUUAGAUUAAAAUCUAAGUUGCAUAAAAUUGCCUAAAUACUUUGACUUGAAUCUGAUAAGGUCUUGCUUAGUAUUUAGAGAAUGAUUGUUUGCAUAGAUAAGAACUUGACAUUGUCUUGAUUCUAUCUAAUGUUAUAAAGCUUGAGACAUUGGUGAUCAAACUUGAUGAAGUCAAGGAUUGAUCCCAAUGCAAUUGUGACUUAUCUUUGCUAGAGUUUGAGUGAUGUUUCAGGUUCACAAAAGGUGUUCCUAGUUCAUCAUCAAAUCCGAGUUGAAAGAGAAAGAAUGAUGCCCAUUGUGUGUACAAUGGAGAGGUGUUACAAGAAGGGAGAAGCACAGAUGGUUGUAAAACUCACUGGUGUUCUUCUCCUUAACAUUGCAAGUACCUGAAGAAGAAGCUAACCGGGUCUAGGCAGUGGCGUGCCUAUUCAAGAGGGUGCUCAAACUAAGACAGAGCACUCUUGGCUGUGUGAAGAAGAAGGCUACUCUAUCAAGGCGGCUUCUAUUGUGAGGUGAUUGAAGAAGUAGCUGAAGCAUCCACAAGCAUUCCAUCAUGGUGGCAAAUUCAGAAGGGUGAUUGCAAUAAGAGAAGAAGAAGAAGUGAGGAUUCAAGUGGCAACUUUAAGAACCACUCCUCAUCACCUUAAACAAGGGAGUAAACCUAGUCUCAUCUAUCUUAAUAUGUCUUGAUUGGUUUAUCUCCUGAUUAUACUAUGUGCUUUCCCUAAUUCCAUUAAGAGUUUAUAGCUUCUAAGUAGAAUGUCUAGGCUAAUUGCACUGAAAUUGUUUUGCUGCUGCAUUGUCUUAUUGAUAGUAAGUAAUGUCUAGAGUCCCAGAAUCUCAUGUUCUGUUUAUUGCAUUGUCUUGAGUGUUGUCAUAGCUUGAAUCAUCAUGAAUGUGUUGUAGAAUUGAGUAGAAUGUCUCUGCUGCUUGCAUCAUGAUUGAUAAGUUAUUUUGCAUACAUAAGCAUAUCUCAUACUGUCUAAGUUCAAUCCUAGUGUUAUCUGAUGCUAUUGCCUAUGUUUAAUCCAUCAAUGAAAGUCUUGCAUCAAUUAGAAAUUGUCUAAGUUGCUUGCAUCAUUGGUUCUGAUUGAAACUGUUGUGCAGAGCUUUAAUAUUACUCAUGGAUUGAACUUGUUGCAUUCAUAUAGCUAAUGCUUUAAGAUUGUGCAUUCAUGUAGUAAUGCAUUUAAAAAUGAGCCUAAAUUGCAAAUGUACUGAUAUAAGCUUUGCAUUUAGAGAACUGUAUAGAACUUGCAUUGUCAUUGUUAGAAAUUGAAAUCUGCUUGUCUUGACUCAAUCCUGUUCUGAUUGUUGCUAUGCCAUAGUUAAAUCCAUCAGUGAUGUCUUAUAAGCAUUUAGAAGUAUGUCUAAGCUACUUGAAUCAUUGGCUUUGAUAAAACUAGUGAGCAUAAGCAUGAAUUGAGUCACUCUUGUCGUCUUGAUUGCAUAAGUAUCAUCUAGACUUGUGUUCCAUUUGGAUUGAAUCUGUUUCAUUCAUAUAGUUAGUGUGUAACCUAAUGCACUAAUCUAUUGUUGCAUUUAAAAAAAAAAAAAAACAAAACUGAAUUGAUUUGUCUUUGCUUGAUUGUCUUGAUUGUCUAGCUUGUCUCAAGUAUCCUAUAUUAUUGUGGCAUUGGUGAUCAAACAGGAUAGAUAAUCUUGGUUUGAUCCCAAUGGGAUGAUCUGAUCUUGCAUUGAGUUGUGGUGGUGUUAGGUACACAAGGAAUGUGAUACAUGAAACUCGCCAACAACCAAGAAUGUAAAGACAAAGAUCUUGUGCCAUUGCAUAUCAUCACUAGGACAUGUUAGUCCAUAAUCUACAGGAAGUGUAGUGUGAUUGAGUAUGCAAUGAGAGAUGGCCAUUGCAUAAUACCAUUGGACAUAUCUAGUCCUUAGUCAACAGGAAGUGUAGCAUGGGUCAUUAUGCAAUGAGAGGCGUGUCUUGUGAGACUCUCUAUGGUGAUUCAAACACCCUAAUUCCUGGUUAAGGAAGAGAGAAAACUCACAAGAAGAAAGCUACCAUAAAAGAUGAUAGUUAUUAGACCAUGGAGAUGCAUAGGAUCAUCACAAGCUUAGCUCCUUCUAGUCUUGGUUCUAAGCUUGAGGGGGAGUCUUAAUGCAUAUGAUCCAUGGUCAGUAACAAGUCUUUGCAAAGGCUUCUACAAGGAUCAUCAACCGGACCAAGAUAGUGGCGUGUCUAGGCAAGAGGCUGUUCAGAGCAGUCUUGGCGAGUGAAGAAGAACGCUCUCCAUCAAUGCGGCUUCAAUGAGAGGUGAUUGAGGAGAAGCUGAUGAAUCCAUUCUGCCUUUCCAAGAAGUUGGUGAUGCCAUGAAGAUGGUGCAUUGGCCGAGUUAGGAAACUCACAAAAACACAAGGGAAGUUCCCUUAGACUUUUAAAACCUUUUUAUUCAUCUUAUUCAUUGCUUGUGCUUGAAAAGAUACGUAAAAUGAUUAUGAUUGAAUUGUGAGAUUGUGUGCAUCAAGUGUGAUGCAGGAUAUUCAUUUUCUUGUUUUUGAUAGGUACUGAUGCACCUUUGGGAUAAUGUAUCAGGUACCAUUGCUUGAGCCUCACUGAAGGUGUUCCUGGUCAUUUCCUAGCUUCUCUAAGGUGGCUGUGAAGUCGGUUGAGAGGGGGAGAUUCAAACCAGUUCUAUGAAGAGGGCAAGCCGUGUGUGAAGUGUUGAUCAGCCUAACUGGUGUUUUGAAGAUGAUCUCGUCGUGUCCUAGCUUCUCUAAGAUGGCUGAGAAGUCAGUUGAGAGGGGGAGACUUCAAACCGGUUCCAUGAUGAGGUGAAGCUGAAGUGUGAAGUGUGCGCUGUGAAGAGUUGCUGCACCUAUUAGGCCGUGAUCCAGAGCUUCUUGUGUCCAACCACACUGGUUCUAAGGCACAAGAGCUCACUGGCCAAUCCCUAGGCUUUGGAGAGCUCUACUCUUUUUCCCUUGCAAGGUUUUGUCCCAAUGGGUUUUCCUUGUAAGGUUUUUAAUGAGGGAGACUCUUCAGAGUUCCAAGCUUGGCUUAGGAUCUCCUAAAGUCAAGCUUGAGGGGGAGUGUUGAACUGAAGAGAAGAUGGAGCUUGUACAAUGAUAGGGCAAGCUCUAGAAGAUGUCUAGAAGAGUUCAAUCAAGCUUCAGAAGUGCUCUGAAGAAGUUAUCUUGUGAAGAUAAGUCUAGGAAAGACUUAGACUGAUCAUGUGAGGGCUUUGGAGGAGUUAGAGAGAAGAUGGAAGUGUGGUGCAAAGAUAGGGCCAAGUCCAGGAGGGACUUAGAAGAGUAUUUGGGCGAGUGUGCAAACUUAGGGACUGGCUGUACGGAUUUGGUACGGACGUUGUACGGACCGUACGGAUCCGUACGGACCGAGACAUCCCGAAAGUUCACCAGUCAACCAUUUGAGCACAUUUGAAGUUGGUGCAAAAAUAGGGCACUCGUGAAACUCUUAAGAGAAGAAGACAAAGGAGAGGCUGGCGAGUGACAGGCUGGAAAGGAGAGUCUCUUGCUGUAAAGUAAAAGCAAAAGGAGACCAUGUAUCUAGCAAAAGAAGUGGGCAGAUUCAUGGGAGCCUUUAGCUAGCCAAUAAGGAGCCAGCCUUCCCUUGACCAGAUUCAAAUGGACCACUUAUCCAUCAGGAACAGCACAGCCACGACCAAGACCAUCUGUCCAUCUCAUCCAUGUUGAGUUGAGUUGAGUAUAAGUGUGAAGCAAGUGAGGAGUUACGGACGUUGUACGGACCGUACGGAUCCGUACGGACCGAGACAUCCCGAAAGUUCACCAGUCAACCAUUUGAGCACAUUUGAAGUUGGUGCAAAAAUAGGGCACUCGUGAAACUCUUAAGAGAAGAAGACAAAGGAGAGGCUGGCGAGUGACAGGCUGGAAAGGAGAGUCUCUUGCUGUAAAGUAAAAGCAAAAGGAGACCAUGUAUCUAGCAAAAGAAGUGGGCAGAUUCAUGGGAGCCUUUAGCUAGCCAAUAAGGAGCCAGCCUUCCCUUGACCAGAUUCAAAUGGACCACUUAUCCAUCAGGAACAGCACAGCCACGACCAAGACCAUCUGUCCAUCUCAUCCAUGUUGAGUUGAGUUGAGUAUAAGUGUGAAGCAAGUGAGGAGUUGAGACUAAGGAGAUGAGUUGAAGCUUGGGAAGGUUUGGGUAAGGUCCGUACAAGUCCGUACAGUCCGUACAUGACCGUACACAUGAAGAUGGGUGAAACCUUGACAAGGGUAAAGAAGUUACUUGCGGUAACUUAGGUGAAGGGAAGGAACUUACCUUGAUGCAUCAGACCGUUUAGGGAUAAGGUAGAGCGCGCCUUGACAGGCUGGAACAGCUGGAAAGGCAAGAGCAUCUCGGUCCAAGAUGCUAGAUGCUCCGCGCAUGUGGAGAAGCUAAUUGGCUAGUCCAAAUGAGCUUAUCCUCUCCUGAUUGACCUCACAUGCUUUAGUCUUCUCUGGAUUUCGAAAACCCUUGUAUGCUCACACUAUAUAUUGUAACUCAUGUCCUUAAUGAAAGAUUAGACAGUUCUAAACAAUCUUUCUCUUUACUCAUUUCACUAUGAUUCUCCAUUAGUCUCUAAGUAGUCUCUUAAUCUCUUAUUCUCCUUCUCUAAUCCUUUCUAAACUCAGAUAAUCAUUUACAUUCCUAAAAGUCAUAAUCCAUUCAUUUAAAUUCAAGUUAUAACAGCCCUUAGAUUUAGGUUUAUGAUUGCAAGUUGUAAAGAGCAUAUAUAAGCUCAUAAGUGAUGUUUUGUAACUCUUAAGUGAGUAAGGGGGUUUCCCUUCUCCUUCUCUAAUCUGAAACACUUUCUCUUAGUCUCUCUAGUCUCUCAUCCUGAAUCUCUAUACACGUUCUCAGUCUUGUUACUAAUCUCUUAAACACUUAGACACACAAAC
rnacentral:lncRNA from 1 species